rnacentral:rRNA from 1 species
GAGUUUGAUCUUGGCUCAGGAUGAACGCUGGCGGCGUGCUUAACACAUGCAAGUCGAACGAAGCGCCUUAUUUGAUUUUCUUCGGAACUGAAGAUUUGGUGACUGAGUGGCGGACGGGUGAGUAACGCGUGGGUAACCUGCCCUGUACAGGGGGAUAACAAUCAGAAAUGACUGCUAAUACCGCAUAAGACCACAGCACCGCAUGGUGCAGGGGUAAAAACUCCGGUGGUACAGGAUGGACCCGCGUCUGAUUAGCUGGUUGGUGAGGUAACGGCUCACCAAGGCGACGAUCAGUAGCCGGCUUGAGAGAGUGAACGGCCACAUUGGGACUGAGACACGGCCCAAACUCCUACGGGAGGCAGCAGUGGGGAAUAUUGCACAAUGGGGGAAACCCUGAUGCAGCAACGCCGCGUGAGUGAAGAAGUAUUUCGGUAUGUAAAGCUCUAUCAGCAGGGAAGAAAGUGACGGUACCUGACUAGAAGCCCGGCUAACACGUGCCAGCCGCCGCAGU